ensembl:antisense Gm14808 predicted gene 14808
CACUGAGCCCAUGCAGCCUGGUCCAGCCCACAUUCCUCAGCUGGCCUUGGUGUAGUGAGCAUGCUCGAUGCUCAACCGGAAGCUAAGCCCUGCACCAGGAGCCUUAGCUGCCAUCUGUGCCUGCAGACUCUGGCUCCAGUCAACUGGGCCACGGCAACUGGAAGCAAAAGUCCUGGCAAGUCCUUCCAAGAAGCAGAAUAACCAUGGUGGCUGGCUCUGGGUCCCUAAGGAGAGUUGUGCCUUGGGAAGGCCUCCCGCACUACAGAAGAAGAGGAACCACUGGGAUGGCUCAGCAGGGAAAAAGGAGCCUGCCUCGAAGCAAAGCGUGACAAGCAAAGUAUGGUCCCCGAGUACCCAUAUG